rnacentral:rRNA from 1 species
GACAGAGGAGCCAAGCGUUGUUCGGAUUGACUGGGCGUAAAGCGCACGCAGGCGGCCGUGCACGUGGGGUGUGAAAGCUGGCGGCUUAACUGCCAGACGCCACCUCAUACGGCACGGCUCGAGCCCGUGAGAGGUCCACGGAAUUGCCGGUGUAGUGGUGAAAUGCGUAGAGAUCGGCAGGAACACCCAGGGGGAAACCAGUGGACUGGCACGGUGCUGACGCUCAGGUGCGAAAGCGUGGGGAGCGAACCGG